rnacentral:lncRNA from 1 species
UCGCAAAUCAAGAUUAGUACUUUUCUCUCCUUACAACUUUGAGAUCAGCAACCGUACGAUACCUUACAGUAUUAAUGUCAUGCCAAACUCAAACAAUAAUUCAUAUAUAAUAAUUGAUAUGACGUUGAGUCACCAGUUCAGUUCAGUACUAAACAAUUGAUAUGUCGUUGAGCCAUUAAUAAUAAAUGUGUAUUUGUGACGAAAGUUAUAUUUCUUAAUUUAAAGUUAUCCCUUUGGCCCUAUCUCGCUAUGAAUAAUUUCACAUCAGAAUUUGAUAUCAAGUUUCUUAUCAAUUACAAGCACAGAAACACUUUAUCAACC